UACGUAGGUGGCGAGCGUUAUCCGGAUUUACUGGGCGUAAAGCGCUUGUAGGUGGCUUCGUAAGUUGGGCGUGAAAGCUCCGGGCUUAACUCGGAGAGGCCGUCCAAUACUGCGGGGCUAGAGGAUGUCAGAGGAAGGUGGAAUUCCUGGUGUAGUGGUGAAAUGCGUAGAUAUCAGGAGGAACACCCGUGGCGAAGGCGGCCUUCUGGGGCAUUCCUGACACUGAGAAGCGAAAGCUAGGGGAGCAAACAGG
rnacentral:rRNA from 1 species